rnacentral:rRNA from 1 species
AACCCACUGAUGUUGCAAAAUCAGGGGAUGAUCUGUGGAUAGGGGUGAAAGGCCAAUCAAACCUGGAGAUAGCUGGUUCUCUCCGAAAACUAUUGAGGUAGUGCCUCGUGUUUAUCACUGCCGGGGGUAGAGCACUGUUAUGGCUAGGGGGUCACGCCGACUUACCAAACCAUGGCAAACUCCGAAUACCGGUAAGCGCAAUCACGGGAGACAGACAGCGGGUGCGAACGUCCGUUGUCAAGAGGGAAACAACCCAGACCGCCGUCUAAGGCCCCCAAGCCGUUGCUAAGUGGGAAACGAAGUGGGGGGGCACACACAGCCAGGAUGUUGGCUUAGAAGCAGCCAUCAUUUAAAGAAAGCGUAAUAGCUCACUGGUCUAGUCCCCCUGCGCGGAAAAUGUAACGGGGCUUAAGCAACGCGCCGAAGACGCGGGUGUCAGAAGGUUGAGUAAAGGGAAUUGCCCGCAAAGCCGGGCAGUUUUAUGGAAACGGGCGCAAUACCCGGCGCCCGUUUCAGUCUUGCGCGGUGUGAUAGAAUGCCGCCAUGACGACGAAUUCCAUCGCCGUUUCUUGUAUUCCUGCGACGAAGGCGGAUAUCGCCGAAGUCAAAGGCGAGAUUAAAUCUUUGACGGCGGAAGUCAGGACGAAGUUUAACUUACUGAUGGCUCUGGUCGUCGGUCCGUAUGUCGGACUCGCGCUAGUUCUCAUAAACAAACUGAUGGAAUAAGGAAUGAAAAAAUAUAAAAACUACGAAGAUGUCCCGUGGCUACGGAAGGCCGGUGUUAACUCGUGUUUUGCCGUUAUUGGUAUGAUUUCGAGUACGGUGUCAUAUGUUUCAUGGUAUUUUGCUUCUAAUACUCCUGGUGGUUUGGAGGUAUAUGCAUUAGUAUACGGUGCAAUUCUUUUGCCAUCGCCUUUCAUUUUUCUUGUCCUCAUUCCUUGCUUUGCGUUGAUAACCGGGGGCAUUUAUCGAAAAGAGAAAGAUGAAGACGGUUUCCUGAUUUCUUGGGAUACCGCGGGCAAGAUUUUCGCAUGGCUUAUAUUUAUCUAUGCGUCGCCGAUAUUUUUUGCGAUAUUUUUGAUAUUUAGUUAAGUUUCCUUUACUCAACCUUUUGACGCGGUAGGAGAGCGUUCCGUAAGCCAGUGAAGGCGGUUUGAAAGGGCCGCUGGAGGUAUCGGAAGUGAGAAUGCUGACAUGAGUAACGUUAAAACGGGUGAAAAACCCGUUCGCCGAAAGUCCCAGGUUUCCUGUGCAAUGUUAAUCAUCGCAGGGUUAGUCGAUUCCUAAGGCGAGGCCGAAAGGCGUAGUCGAUGGAAAACGGGUUAAUAUUCCCGUACCUUCGCAUGAUGCGAUGGGGUGACGGAGAGUGCUGCCUUGUCCGGGUGUUGGAAGUCCCGGUUCAAGCUGGUAGUUCAUUGAUGUUUCCAGGUAAAUCCGGAAACGGAGAAUGAGAAGCGACAACGACCGCUUUUUCGGAAGCGGGAAGCAAGUGACGCACGCUCCCAAGAAAAGCCUCUAAGCUUCAGUCAUGCGAGGAUCGUACCGCAAACCGACACUGGUGGACAGGAAGAAUAUUCCAAGGCGCUUGAGAGAACUCGGGUGAAGGAACUCGGCAAAAUGAUACCGUAACUUCGGGAGAAGGUAUGCCCCGACAAUGUGAAGUCCCUCGCGGACGGAGCAGUAAGGGGUCGAAGAGAAUUGGUGGCUGCGACUGUUUACUAAAAACACAGCACUCUGCAAACACGAAAGUGGAAGUAUAGGGUGUGACGCCUGCCCAAUGCCGGAAGGUUAAUUGACGGGGUUAGCCCUUAUGGGCGAAGCUCCUGAUCGAAGCCCCGGUCAAUGGCGGCCGUAACUAUAACGGUCCUAAGGUACCGAAAUUCCUUGUCGGGUAAGUUCCGACCUGCAGGAAUGGCGCAACGAUGGCCACACUGUCUCCACCCGAGACUCAGUGAAAUUGAAAUGAGUGUGCUGAUGCACCCUACCCGCUGUUAGACGGAAAGACCCCGUGCACCUUUACUGCAGCUUUGCAUUGAGUUUUGAAUAGGUUUGUGUAGGAUAGGUGGGAGGCGAUGAAGCCGAGGCGCCAGCUUCGGUGGAGCCAUCCUUGAAAUACCACCCUGAUUUAUUUGGAACCCUAACCUAGCCCCGUUAUCCGGGGCGGGGACCAUGCAUGGCGGGCAGUUUGACUGGGGCGGUCUCCUCCCAAAGAGUAACGGAGGAGCGCAAAGGUAUGCUUCGCUCGGUCGGAAAUCGAGCUGGACGUGCAAUGACAAAAGCAUGCUUGACUGCAAGAGUGACGGCUCAAGCAGGUGCGAAAGCAGGUCAUAGUGAUCCGGUGGCGCUUUAUGGAAGGGCCAUCGCUCAACGGAUAAAAGGUACGCCGGGGAUAACAGGCUAAUUCCUCCCAAGAGUCCACAUCGACGGAGGAGUUUGGCACCUCGAUGUCGGCUCAUCACAUCCUGGGGCUGUAGCAGGUCCCAAGGGUAUGGCUGUUCGCCAUUUAAAGUGGUACGUGAGCUGGGUUUAGAACGUCGUGAGACAGUUCGGUCCCUAUCUGCAGUGGGCGCUGGAAAUUUGAAGGGAUCUGCUCCUAGUACGAGAGGACCGGAGUGGACGAACCUCUGGUGUACCGGUUGUCGCGCCAGCGGCAUUGCCGGGUGGCUAUGUUCGGAAUGGAUAACCGCUGAAAGCAUCUAAGUGGGAAGCCAACCCUGAGACGAGAUUUCCCGAGGGCUUGACCCUCCUGAAGACCCCUUGAAGACGACGAGGUUGAUAGGUCGGAUGUGGAAGUGCGGCAACGCAUUAAGCUAACCGAUACUAAUUGGUCGUGCGGCUUGGUUCC